rnacentral:lncRNA from 1 species
GAGACAAUUUUACAGGUAAUUUUCAAGAUAGAGGUAAUAGUGAGCUUAAAGACCUUCAGUUGUUAAUUUAUAUAUGCCUCUUCUAAGGUUGAGAAACUGAUAUCACACAGGAUUGCUUAUUAAUUUGUGAGUGAUUUGAUAGCUACUUCAGAGUGGAUAAUCCCACUCCAACAGUCCUGAGACAGCACCCCUACUGUUUAUACUCAAGUGAUCUUUCUUGCUCCAGCAACUGAGUAAAAAUGUACUAACAGCAAAUUACAAUUCUGGCUUUUCUUUCUUCUCUUUGCAGACAGAGCUUUUUGAUGAAGGUCUAGUCCAAUGGGAGAUAGAAGAAAGAUCUGCUCCCUUCUACCCUCUUCUAUGCUGCUUACUCAAACAGAGGGAAAGUCACCACCAGUCUGCAUUGCCUGAUAUUAGAGCGUGCUCUUACAUGAGAAAUACAAUUUCUCACAGCAAGGCAAAAUCAAAAGAUGAGACAGAAGAGCUCCCCAUGGCUGAAUCAGCUGUGGAUGGAUGUUGGAGAGGAAUGGGCACUACAGCUCUCUCAGGGCAAGCUUGGGUACACACUCUGGGACCGCUUGACUCAGAAAGAGGACUCUAGUAUCCUGCUAGCACAAGACUGCCAGCAACAAAAAACUUUUGCAAAGGCGAGAUCGGUGCACUUUGCAUGCCUAAGAGGUGAGAAUUUUGCGGCUGCGCUUCUAGGCAGCAGCACCAGGAGGCGCUAAUGCACCAUAGUUCGUUGUCGCACUGCCAGCCCAGGUGUUGCCAGCCUGCUCUGAGCUCAGCCUGCCCUGCACCUGCUCUUCAACCCAGGGCCUGACAGUGAUGGACAAACUGCAGGCGAUUUUAGGUGAUUGCUAUUAAGGGCAUAAUUCAGUUUCUUUCUGUAUCUGGGAGGGAUCUUUAUGAGGUGGGCUGAAGGAUGCUGUAGUCUGCUUUUCUUUUUGUUCUUCAUGGCAAGAAUUAGUGGCUCAUGUCUGGAAAGGAGGGAUUGAAACAACGGCUUGCAUUUGCUUGGAUUAAUCACUGGCCACGGAUAUCUUAAGAGGGUCAGGGACUUCCUGCUAUAGAUGAGGAAUUAUUAAGAACCAGAAGUAGCUAAGAGUGUGAUGGAGAGGCAACUGCAUUUCCUUUGAAAACGAUGAAAAUUGAAGAUUGUGAGAUCAAAUGAUCACAAUAAUUAUAAGGUUUGAUUCCAUUUAUUUAUUUAUUUAAUAGGAAAAGUAAAUAUUCUUGUAUUAAGUCACUUCUCAGAACAUGAAAUGCUAGGUGGUUUAGAUAAAAAAAAAUGUCCAGUGGGGGGAAAAUAAUGAAUAGACUUAAUUCCAUAAUUGCAUUUCAUCAGAUUGAUAUAAGAUUCAUCACUUUAAGUAAGGCAACAAAAGCAAAGUAUAUUUGUCUUGUAAGUGGUGUAAAAACCUUCACAUAGCAUCAAAAAUACGGUACCCUUAUUUUGUUUAUGACAUUUAUGGGGACCUGUCUGUCCCCAGGGAUAUAUUGGUUGAGCAUGGCAGCCAUUGAACAUGGAUGCUGAUGGGCUGUGCCAGGGCUGAGGUAAAACCCAUUCUGCUCUUUGGGUUAUCUUGAACUCUGAACCAAGUUAUUUCUCAAUGAAAAACACCUGAUAUCAGUAAUGGAGGCGGCCUCAGGAUCGUUAAUUCGUUGUAUGGAGUACUGAGAUACGAGCAUCCUUUUCUCUCCCUAUCUUCCUUCUAUUCUUUCUUUGCUUUUCACUUCCUCCAUGCCAGAACUACAAGCAUGUGCCAUAAUGCCUAUCAUGAAUCUUUAAAAUAGAACUGUGCCUGCCAGCCUGGACUGUAACCCUGUGGAACUCUGACCCCAGUACAUGUUUUCUUUUAACAGUCAUCUAGAUAAUUAAAGUUAUAGUUUUUCUUAGUUAUGAUAAAAGAUAAAUUAGAUAUAAAACUUGAAACUCACCAAGAUAAGUUAGAUUUUCUCUAACUUUGUCAAAUACAAAUAGACUUGAUAUUGUAAUUGUAGUUCUUACUUGCUGUUUUGUUGUACAUAAUUUUAUUAUGUUAAAGUUAAAAAACCUUCCUUUUUGACUAGACAGAAAAGGGGAAAUGCUGUAGGAUAAUCCUUCUGUAUACUGUGAAUAUGCACUAAUCUCAUUGGUUGAUAAUAAAGCUGAUUUGGUUUACUUAAGAUAAAUAAAACUAGUCAUCAUUGAGAUAUCUCAUCACUGCAAUAGAAAAGUAGCCAAGGCAUUCAAUAAUAUUUAUGUUCUAGAAUUUAGUGUGUGUGUGUGUGUGUGUGUGUGUGUGUGUGUGUGUAUGUGUGUGUGAAUUUCUGUAUUCACCUCUGUGUGGGGCAUAUGUGUGCAUUCUUGGUAUUAAUGCAUUUGGAAGCCAGAGGCCAAUAUUGAUAUCUUUUUUUACUUACUCACUCCUCACCUCAUUUUUUGAGAUGAGUCUUUCACCAAAUCUGUAGCAUGCCGGUUUGGCUAUAGUAGCUGGCUAGGAAGCCCCAGGGAUCUCUGUUUCUGCUUUCUCAGCACUGGGAUUACAAACAUGACCUCUGCACCCAGUUGUUUUAUGUGGUUUCUGUGGAUUGUAUGUCCCAUGCUUACAAGGGAAUAUAUUUAUUAAAGACUAAGCCAAUUUAGUUUGUAAGCCCCCCAAUUUUGAAUAUUUACUAAG